UACGGGGGGGGUAAGCGUUGUUCGGAAUUACUGGGCGUAAAGGGCUCGUAGGCGGCCAACUAAGUCAGACGUGAAAUCCCUCAGCUUAACUGGGGAACUGCGUCUGAUACUGGAUGGCUUGGAUUCGGGAGAGGAAUGCGGAAUUCCAGGUGUAGCGGUGAAAUGACGUAGAUAUGGGGAGGAACACCGGUGGCGAAGGCGGCCAUCUGGACGGAUACUGACGCUGAGACGCGAAAGCGUGGGGAGCAAACAGGG
rnacentral:rRNA from 1 species